rnacentral:rRNA from 1 species
UGGGGAAUUUUGGACAAUGGGCGAAAGCCUGAUCCAGCAAUGCCGCGUGUGUGAAGAAGGCCUUCGGGUUGUAAAGCACUUUUGUCCGGAAAGAAAUCCUCUGGGUUAAUACCUCGGGGGGAUGACGGUACCGGAAGAAUAAGCACCGGCUAACUACGUGCCAGCAGCCGCGGUAAUACGUAGGGUGCAAGCGUUAAUCGGAAUUACUGGGCGUAAAGCGUGCGCAGGCGGUUUUGUAAGACGGAUGUGAAAUCCCCGGGCUUAACCUGGGAACUGCAUUCGUGACUGCAAGGCUAGAGUAUGGCAGAGGGGGGUAGAAUUCCACGUGUAGCAGUGAAAUGCGUAGAGAUGUGGAGGAAUACCGAUGGCGAAGGCAGCCCCCUGGGCCAAUACUGACGCUCAUGCACGAAAGCGUGGGGAGCAAACAGGAUUAGAUACCCUGGUAGUCCACGCCCUAAACGAUGUCAACUAGUUGUUGGGGAUUCAUUUCCUUAGUAACGUAGCUAACGCGUGAAGUUGACCGCCUGGGGAGUACGGUCGCAAGAUUAAAACUUAAUGAAUUGACGGGGUCAUAGCUGUUUCCU